AACGAACGCUGGCGGCAUGCCUAACACAUGCAAGUCGAACGAAACCUUCGGGUCUAGUGGCGCACGGGUGCGUAACGCGUGGGAACCUGCCCUUAGGUUCGGAAUAACUCCCCGAAAGGGGUGCUAAUACCGGAUAAUGUCUUCGGACCAAAGAUUUAUCGCCUUUGGAUGGGCCCGCGUUGGAUUAGCUAGUUGGUAGGGUAAAAGCCUACCAAGGCGACGAUCCAUAGCUGGUCUGAGAGGAUGAUCAGCCACACUGGGACUGAGACACGGCCCAGACUCCUACGGGAGGCAGCAGUGGGGAAUAUUGGAAAAUGGGCGAAAGCCUGAUCCAGCAAUGCCGCGUGAGUGAUGAAGGCCUGAGGGUUGUAAAGCUCUUUUACCCGGGAUGAUAAUGACAGUACCGGGAGAAUAAGCGCCGGCUAACUCCGUG
rnacentral:rRNA from 1 species